rfam:Toxocara canis scaffold89, whole genome shotgun sequence.
GUGGCAGUAGGUCACUGGUGGAGCUCCCGCUUUGUACGCGGGAAGACCUGAGUUCGAUUCCCGGCUGCUUACC